rnacentral:rRNA from 1 species
AAGUCGUAACAAGGUUUCCGUAGGUGAACCUGCGGAAGGAUCAUUAAUGAAAUUAUAAUCCGGCGAGGGGAAAGGCGGAGAGUUGUAGCUGGCCUCUAGGGGCAUGUGCACGCUCUCUUCCGGACCUUUCGCCGUAUGGGCGCGGGGCGACCCGCGUCUUCAUAUACCUCUUCGUGUAGAAAGUCUUUGAAUGUUUUACCAUCAUCGAGUCGCGACUUCUAGGAGACGCGAUUCUUUGAGAAAAAAGUUAUUACAACUUUCAGCAACGGAUCUCUUGGCUCUCGCAUCGAUGAAGAACGCAGCGAAUCGCGAUAUGUAAUGUGAAUUGCAGAUCUACAGUGAAUCAUCGAAUCUUUGAACGCACCUUGCGCUCCUCGGUGUUCCGAGGAGCAUGCCUGUUUGAGUGUCAGUAAAUUCUCAACCCCUCUCGAUUUGCUUCGAGCGGGUGCUUGGAUGUUGGGGGCUGCCGGAGACACUGGAUUCGUCCAGGACUCGGGCUCCUCUUAAAUGAAUCGGCUCGCGGUCGACUUUCGACUUUGCAUGACAAGGCCUUUGGCGUGAUAAUGAUCGCCGUUCGCCGAAGUGCAAGACAGAAUGGUCCCGUGCCUCUAAUGCGUCGACGCCUCUAGGGGCGUCUUCCUCAUUGACGUUGACCUCAAAUC